CCUACGGGAGGCUGCAGUGAGGAAUAUUGGUCAAUGGACGCAAGUCUGAACCAGCCAUGCCGCGUGCAGGAAGACGGCUCUAUGAGUUGUAAACUGCUUUUGUACGAGGGAAAACGCUGAAACGCGUAUCUGUCUGAAAGUAUCGUACGAAUAAGGAUCGGCUAACUCCGUUCCCGCAGCCCAGGUAAUACGGAGGAUUCAAGCGUUAUCGGGAUUUAGUGGGUUUAACGGGUGCGUAGGCGGUCGGGUAAGUUAGAGGUGAAAUCCCGAGGCUCAACUUCGGAAUUGCCUCUGAUACUGUUCGGCUAGAGAGUAGUUGCGGGAGGCGGAAUGUAUGGUGUAGCGGUGAAAUGCUUAGAGAUCAUACAGAACACCGAUUGCGAAGGCAGCUUACCAAGCUACUUCUGACGUUGAGGUACGAAAGCGUGGGGAGCAAACAGGAUUAGAUACCCCUGUAGUC
rnacentral:rRNA from 1 species